GAUGAACGCUAGCGGGAGGCCUAAUACAUGCAAGUCGAACGGUAACAGGUAGCAAUACGCUGACGAGUGGCGCACGGGUGCGUAACGCGUACACAAUCUGCCUUAUACUGGGGCAUAGCCUUUGGAAACGAAGAAUAAUUCCCCAUAACAUAUAGAAGAGGCAUCUCUUUUAUAUUAAAGCUCAGGCGGUAUAAGAUGAGUGUGCGUCCGAUUAGGUAGUUGGUGAGGUAACGGCUCACCAAGCCAACGAUCGGUAGCUGGUCUGAGAGGAUGAUCAGCCACACGGGCACUGAGACACGGGCCCGACUCCUACGGGAGGCAGCAGUAGGGAAUAUUGGACAAUGGGCGCAAGCCUGAUCCAGCCAUCCCGCGUGAAGGAUGAAGGUCCUCUGGGUUGUAAACUGCUUUUAUACGGGAAGAAAAAGUACUACGUGUAGUAUAUUGACGGUACCGUAAGAAUAAGGAUCGGCUAACUCCGUGCCAGCAGCCGCGGUAAU
rnacentral:rRNA from 1 species